AUUCAUCGAGUGAGGCUCAACUCGGGGACCAGUUAAAAUUACAGUUUUGUUUGGGAUAAACUUUAAGUGCCUGCUUUCCUUCAGUGGAAAAGCCACAUCCAAGGGGAUUCCUUUUGUUACUGAGUUGUGCCAGCUAGGGGACAAGGUGACACAGAAUAUGUACAGACAAAAACAAGUAUGCUAAUGAAAUUUCUUCAAAUACUAUAAACAAUCAGUGAAGACUGCUACUAUAGGCUGCUGCUGUAUUUUUAAGAGGCUCAACUUCAAAUACUUCAACCUUUUAUGGAAAGAUGGAAACACACAACAAACUAUGUAGAUCUUGAUACAAGUCUCCAUCAAGUUGAUUCAUUUUUAAAAGUAAAUUACAUCCUAAUUUCAAACCUGUGGCAAGACAAGUCAAAUCAUCAAAGAAUGUCCUGUGACAGCCAAGAAGGCGGCCCCGCGGGAACCAGGUCCUGCGAGGAGGGCGGUCGGCCGCUCCCUCCCGACUCGCCGGCGGCCCAGGGUGCGGCGCUGCCAGCAGGUUGAUCGGGCGGAGCUUUGGGAGCGGCUCGACUGACCGCCCGGGGGGCUGAGGCUUCAAGGCGAGAUCACCGCCGGCCAAAUAAGAAUAAACAAACUC
rnacentral:antisense_RNA from 1 species